AUACGUAGGGGGCGAGCGUUGUCCGGAAUGAUUGGGCGUAAAGGGCGCGUAGGCGGCCCGGUAAGUCUGGCGUGAAAGUCCUGUUUUUAAGAUGGGAAUUGCUUUGGAUACUGUCGGGCUUGAGUGCAGGAGAGGUAAGUGGAAUUCCCAGUGUAGCGGUGAAAUGCGUAGAGAUUGGGAGGAACACCAGUGGCGAAGGCGACUUACUAGACUGUCACUGACGCUGAGGCGCGAAAGUGUGGGGAGCAAACAGGAUUAGAUUCCCUGGUAGUCCACACUGUAAACGGAGAAUGCUAGGUGUAGGGGGUAUCGACCCCUUCUGUGCCGCAGUCAACACAAUAAGCAAUCCGCCUGGGGAGUACGGCCGCAAGGUUGAAACUCAAAUGAAGUGACGGGG
rnacentral:rRNA from 1 species